GAGCUCAAAUUUAUAAUCUGGCACCUUCGGUGUCCGAGUUGUAAUCUCUAGAAGUGUUUUCCGCGUUGGACCGCACACAAGUCUGUUGGAAUACAGCGGCAUAGUGGUGAAACCCCCGUAUAUGGUGCGGACGCCCAGCGCUUUGUGAUACACUUUCAAUGAGUCGAGUUGUUUGGGAAUGCAGCUCAAAUUGGGUGGUAAAUUCCAUCUAAAGCUAAAUAUUGGCGAGAGACCGAUAGCGAACAAGUACCGUGAGGGAAAGAUGAAAAGCACUUUGGAAAGAGAGUUAACAGUACGUGAAAUUGUUGGAAGGGAAACGCUUGAAGUCAGACUUGCUUGCCGGAGCUUGCUUCGGUUUGCAGGCCAGCAUCAGUUUUCCGGGGUGGAUAAUGACGGUUUGAAGGUAGCAGUCUCGGCUGUGUUAUAGCUUUCCGUUGGAUACAUCCUGGGGGACUGAGGAACGCAGCGUGCUUUUUGCGAAAGACUCGUCUUUUUCACGCUUAGGAUGCUGGUGGAAUGGCUUUAAACGACCCGUCUU
rnacentral:rRNA from 2 species